GGGGCUGUAGCUCAGCUGGCUAGAGCGCCUCGGUCGCAUCGAGGAGGCCAGGGGUUCGACUCCCCUCAGCUCCACAA
rnacentral:tRNA from 2 species